rnacentral:rRNA from 1 species
CGCAUCAGCCACGGCGCGGUGAAUACGUUCCCGGGCCUUGUACACACCGCCCGUCAAGCCAUGGAAGCCGGGGGUGCCUGAAGUGCGCUGCCGCAAGGAGCGCCCUAGGGUAAAACCGGUGACUGGGGCUAAGUCGUAACAAGGUAUC